GAAGCGAAUUAAUUUUGUGUUACUUUUCUUCAACAGAUAUAAAAUCUAUUGAUAUUUAUAAAGUACGCGCUCGUCAAGUAUACCUAUAGAAUACAAGACGAUCUAUUACAGUAUCUAGGUGCCUACAAUAAAAUCAGUUGUCGCCAAAUUGUCGCUGGUCGUUCAUUAGUUCGUGUUGCAUGCUUUAUAAACGCGUAUUAUGUAAGUAAGAAUCAAUUUUUCAUAAAGAAAAAUGUUGUUUGUAUUUUUU